rnacentral:rRNA from 1 species
ACACGACUACAUUAGAUACCCGGGUAGUCCCAGCCCUAAACGAUGCGCGUUGGGUGUAUCGGUGACCACGAGUCACCGAGGUGCCGAAGGGAAACCGUGAAACGUGCCGCCUGGGAAGUACGGUCGCAAGGCUGAAACUUAAAGGAAUUGGCGGGGGAGCACCACCACGGGUGGAGCCUGCGGUUUAAUUGGACUCAACGCCGGGAAGCUCACCGGAUAAGACAGCGGAAUGAUUGCCGGGCUGAAGACCCUGCAUGACCAGCUG